AAGAAGGCCCCUUGGUGGUAGCAAUGCUGCGGGUCUGGAGAGGGGUGACCUCAAGUAGCAAAGGUGUAGAGCAUGGAAGCAGUGAUAGAAAAUAAGGCUCUGGUUGUUCAAAAUCCAAAGGGGCAUGACAAACUAUAAUGAGUGGGAAUGAUUAACUGAGGGCUAAUUCUAAUCAGUGCCUUAUCAAAAGGAAUACCAUCAGAACAGCAAAAUGGAAAAAAAGAACCAAGAUGACCUUCUUGUUCUUAUUUCUGAUAUGUAACAUCUAAGGGGCCUUUUGUAACCUCUGAGGUAGAAAGUCCUUAGGUACUUCUUUGCUGUCCAGAUUGUGUGAGACCUUUUUGCCCAACCCUACACAUAUAUAGUCCAUCUUUUGGGCAUCCUUUUUGGCACCAUCUGGCACAUACACAGAAGGCCUUUCCAACUUUUUGAUCCUGCUUGGGAAGCAGACAGGGAAGCUAGCAUUAGUGGGGGCUAGUCCAGAACCUGCUUUCAGCAGAGAGGAAAUACUCAUACAAGCUGCCAGGAUCAAUCUGUCUUUACAGGACCAUUUUAUAUGGAAAUAAUGGAAAUUUAAGAAAGUUUCUACUGACUUAGGAGUUCAUGUCCUUCAACUUCUGAGUCUGCUCUAAGCUCUAAGGCAUCCAGCCUGCACCUUGGUUCUCUACCCAAAAAAGCCAGAAGAAAAUCUUUGCUCAGAGACUUCUUUAAAACUUCACAAUCGUAUCAUGUGUACAGCUGUACUGUUAGCAUCACAGCUGACUGGAGGGGAUGAAGAAGCAUUGGCAGAAAGCAAGAUCCACUGUAAAGACUGACUGGAAAGCAGGAAGAGAAAGAGGGACAAAUGACACUACCCAGGAGACCAUGCUGCUACAGAUGCCCCACUCCACCUCAUGAGAAGGAGAAAAGCAAGCACAAAUCAGUGUGAUCCCUGGCACCUCUACACGAUGAAGACAAAAACACCUUCCAGGGUCUGUUAUGGGCUCACUAGCUAAGCAGCUGUGCUUUACACCAUUUGCACCUGCAGAUACACCUUCCAUGUGGCAACGACUCACCAGGAUGGUGUCUUCAAGAAAAGGGCAACAUCACCUUGAAUUACGAUUUUAAAAUACAAGGAAAAGCAGAAUAUAUUUAUGUUCUUUGACAUAUGUCAACGCAUAAAUGUGUAAAUAUAUCUUACAAAGAGACAAAAUUUUUAAAACGUUUCCCAUGUUUAAAGGAUCAACCUUGAGUGAACUAUGAGAACGCAGCUUCCCAGAAGGAUGCGUCCCCUGGAAAUUCUGGAAAGCUGAUAUUUUCCUUUAGGUUCUUCUUGAGUUCAGUAAUGUGAUAGGUCAUCUUUCUGUGUCUAUAUGAGUAAAAAGAACAGAGUUUCAUGGCCCUGUGGUAUAAAUCAUAAACACCGAAAGCAGUGAUGUCCAAUUAGGAAGGAGAUGUCAAAGCUUACAGUGCUUAAUGAAAGACAGGACAUCAUUGAACCA